CAAAUGAAUUGACGGGGCCCGCACAAGCGGUGGAGCAUGUGGUUAAUUCGACGCAACGCGAAGAACCUUACCAGGGCUUGACAUCCCCUGACCGCGUAUGAAAGUACGUUUUCACCCUCGGGUGACAGGGAGACAGGUGGUGCAUGGUUGUCGUCAGCUCGUGUCGUGAGAUGUUGGGUUAAGUCCCGCAACGAGCGCAACCCCUACGUUUAGUUGCUAACAGGUGAAGCUGAGCACUCUAGACGAACUGCCGUUGACAAAACGGAGGAAGGUGGGGAUGACGUCAAAUCAUCAUGCCCCUUAUGUUCUGGGCUACACACGUGCUACAAUGGCCGGUACAGACGGAGGCGAAGCCGCGAGGCGGAGCAAAUCCGAAAAAGCCGGUCUCAGUUCGGAUUGCAGGCUGCAAUUCGCCUGCAUGAAGUCGGAAUCGCUAGUAAUCGCAGGUCAGCAUACUGCGGUGAAUACGUUCCCGGGCCUU
rnacentral:rRNA from 1 species